rnacentral:rRNA from 1 species
CCACCCGUGACUACCUAACACYGUUGGUUUGGUGGGGAGCCCUYUCGGGGGCGAGCCGCCGGGGACUACUGAACUUCAUGCCUGAGAGUGAUGCAGUCUGAGUYUGAAUAUAAAAUCAGUCAAAACUUUCAACAAUGGAUCUCUUGGUUCCGGCAUCGAUGAAGAACGCAGCGAACUGCGAUAAGUAAUGUGAAUUGCAGAAUUCAGUGAAUCAUCGAGUCUUUGAACGCACAUUGCGCCCCCUGGCAUUCCGGGGGGCAUGCCUGUCCGAGCGUCAUUGCUGCCCAUCAAGCCCGGCUUGUGUGUUGGGUCGUCGUCCCCCCCGGGGGACGGGCCCGAAAGGCAGCGGCGGCACCGUGUCCGGUCCUCGAGCGUAUGGGGCUUUGUCACCCGCUCGAUUUAGGGCCGGCCGGGCGCCAGCCGACGUCCAACCAUUUUCUUCAGGUGACCUCGGAUCMAGG